AAGACCGGUUGAGUGCUGUGCAUGUUAGCUUGCUACCCUGUAAUUUCAUUUUGCGAAACGUGAAAUGAAGCUAGCCAUCUAUGCUGAAAUGCCGAUGAUCUCACUGCUUAUUACUCUGUGUUGUGCUUCAAGCUUUCUAGCGGCAUUCAGGAUCAGGACAUGCCACACAACUGGCUAUGGAUGCGUGCCGUUCAACCAAUGCCCUCCACGGUAUUGGGCGCCUCGCUCUGGCUGCGGGUGUGGCUCUAUUUGCUGCAACCUUGGAUCAAUGAAUGCCUGCUCUUUGGCGGGAGGAACAUGCAGAGUACAGUGCACAACUAGAAGACUGACUGCCAAAUGUCCUGGAUUCAAGAAGUGCUGUGCCAAUACGCGUCGCUAAGGAGCCUUUAUUACAGCAUGCAAGCGCGCCAAACGUAACUCCGUCCUUGUGCAUAAAAACAGAAUGAGGCAUUCUCUUUA